rnacentral:lncRNA from 1 species
AUAUAUGCAUGCCACACAUCCAUGGAUGCAACAUGCAUAUUCAUGCCUAAUAGAUUUGUCUCUAGAUCUACUAAGACUGGUCCACAAUGGGGCAUCAUCCAAAGUUAUUAGCAGUCCCGAAGUUGCACUGCCCGGUGCGACGAGUAGUCUGACAAACUCCCUUUGCAUCUCCCUGGGCAGGUUCAUGAGGCCACUCUCACCAGGUAGAGACGACGCAAGAAGCCUUAUGAAGUAACGCGGAGCCUCGCACCAACAUUGCUGAAUUUUUUUUGCAAGCUCACAGGAGCAAUUCAAUUUGGCGAGGUAUGGCUUCCUGGGGGAGUAGACCGACGCUAAUGUCAUCUCUUAGGGUAACCGCGACCCGGCUCUGUAGACACCAAAUGUUUGUUGUGAGAAUAGUCACAACAGCUUGGGAGCGGAUUGGUCAGAAAAGCCACCCUUGGACGCAGCAGCCGGGUGCGGCAUCAGUGACAAAGAUGGAGAGUAGGACGACGACCAAGAGGAGGAGACGACCAUUGGACUUGGACGCCAUUUUAAUUUUGCUAGUUUCAAUUCGUUGAUGUAGUUUCUCGAGGUUGUGAACGACAUUAGUUGGUGAAGCUGGACAUGCCACACUUGCUCUCAUACAUCUUUCCUACUUAUAAAUGUUGGAGUUGAUGGUGAGUUCACAUGGAGAUCAACAAUAGAAAUUAAAAAAGCAGUUCUGCCCACAUGAGGGAUCACCAAACUUCCAAGAGACUUGAGUAAACAAAUGCAUUUUUAGUUACAUGCUAGACCUAGCACAAAUAAACAGAUACACUAAUAGCUUAAUGUGAGACCAACACUCCUGUGAGAAACACAAGUAACAAAUGUGGAAAUGUGAAUCAAAGUCAAAAUCAUGCUCUUGGUUUUAGCCCCCCUACCCCCACUGAUUUAUUCCAAUUAGAUAUCAACUGCAAUAAGAUCUGUCGUUAUAUUUUCCACUCUCUUUAAUCAUGAACCAUGCAAUAGCGGCAAGACAACAACGUAUUUUAAUAAUCUUAUAAGAAGGUAGUUUAAAUUCUUGUCUUUUUGUGGCUCAUAGCAACACAAGGACAUUUUGCUAGUGCCUAGAGAAAAGCAAGAGAUGCACAACUGACAAUUGAAAUUUGAUGUGUUAUAUGGCGACUAUGGUGAACUGAAGUGCACUUAGUCAAUUAGUUGGAACAUAAUUUGGAGGGGAAUGCAAGCUAGCUUAUGUGCAAGCAGUGAGAGAUUCAUAGCUGCUCCAGCCUACCUUGUUGGCAAUCGUUGAUGUUGCAUUCUUUUCUUAUUUUGUCAAGUUAUCACUAGUACCUAAAGUGGAGGUUUAAUUAAGAUGUAGCUAGUUUAUGCGCGAGAGUUGAUAAACCAACGACGGACAAAGUUAGUUUUAUCAUGUUGUGGGCACACAUGUGACGACUGUAUGUGUGAGCAACCUUGUAAACCAUUGUUUUACAAACCGUCAUGGCGACCGUGCACAUGUGCGGUCCUCAUGUGUUGAGUGAGUGGUUUCACAAAUGUACACAUUAUGUAAUAAAUGUUAAAAAAUAAUACAUUAUUAUAACCAUAAAAAUAUGAUGGCCAAAAUAUCAUAUAUGAUUGUCGGCGGUCAAUCACCGUUGAUCUUACAUUCUACCAUGGAGUCGUGAAGAAUAAUAGAGAUCCCAUCAACACAAUGGAGAUAUAGAUUUACACAAGUUUGGAUAGUCGGAUGGUUAAUAUCCCUAUGUCAGGCUUAAAGAUUCUAGUGAUGAGUGGAGACUUACAAGGUGGCUGAAACUAUAAAGAAAACAGGGCCACACGAGUGUAUUCUCAUGGAAGGAGAUGAUUAUUGGUGAGGGUCGUGGAUGACCCCUUCCGGUAACAAGGAAAUUACCUUCCAAUGAUACGAGAUAAUUUGAUAUCACGGAUUCACAAGGAAAUGAUCUCCCGAACCAGCAUAAUUCCCAACAUAACGUGUCUAACAUUAUCUUCUCUGAGUGUCUAUUGUAGCACGACUUGAGACAUGACUUUUAUGUCGACUUGGUCUAUCCAUGACCGUAGGGUUCACCAUACACCGUUACUCGCAUAAAAAUGUGGUUAACAUCUUUAAUCAUCUUCAAUUUAUGAGAGAACAAUUAUUAUGUUAUUUUCAAAUGUCUUGUCUUAAUGACCAUAUGUGUUGUUUGUACAUGAUAUUAGAUUAAUAUAUAGAAUUAAAGUCAUCCAGUGAGCUAGCAUGUAGUUUUCAUCUGAUUUUGUAUCAAUACGUGAAGUUAACAUUCAGAUUGUCAAUUGUCAUUUUUAGGCAUAUAGCUAAGAUGAUGUACAUAUUGUGAUUAAAGUAAUGCAAAAGCAAUGGGUAGAGUAUGUUUUGAUAGUCUAAAUAACAAGUUUCCUUCGUGAUUGGAGUAAAAUAUAAUUAUCCCCAUUAACAGGUAGGGUAACUAAACACUGAGAAAUUUCAUUUGAAUAUCUUUCUUGACAUUUUUCGUACUCCCAUCUACUAGCUACAUUUUGAAAUACCUAUCAUUUUAGUGAUGGAUAUAGUCUUUAGGAUACAACUUUGAUCCCUCUUUUAGCAUUUGGAAAUGGUGCUACAAAUAAGAUUAAAAAAUAUUUAACACAAAUGUAAUAAAAAAAUUCAGAAUAUUUGUUGCGAUACCUAUGAUGAAUUAUUGGUUAGGGUAUGCUAUAAAAAAGGGCCCAUCCGAUUGAAAAACAUAUGGUUGGAACUUUUUUGGUAUAUUCCCCGAACAUUAUUGUGCCUUUAUAUACAGUUGAUAGAUUCAUGAAUUCGAGAUUAUGGUACGUGAACGUUGGAUUUCCCUUGAGGGGGUUCAAUGUUGUAUCUCCAUCUACCUCAUCUAAAAAUAGUCAAUUCUGGAGUAUGUGACCAUACUAAGCAUAUGCUUAAUCUUAGAAAAAUAGACAACCAGAUGCUCGUGAUUUAUAGAGACUUUAUUUUACUUAUGCAGGUGUGGGACUUUCAAGUUUUUUUAAUCUUAUAUAAGACUUAGGCGGCUCAAAAUAUGCAUAUAUUUGUGUACUCUAAUUAGUAAUGUUAUUGUCUUUCUGUUAUUUUGAAUAUUGUGUAUAGACCAAUUCAUAACUUGGCAUCCAUUUUAUCCAUAACAUCAUCGUUUAUCGUAUGGCUCCUGCAACGUCAAGAUACAUGCACUGUUUGUUGUUGCAAAAUUACAAAUAUACGUCUAUCUUUAUCAUUGAUUGUCAAACGGUGCAUGUAUUGUGACAAGCAAUGAUAAAGAUAACAAUAAUGCUACAAAAUCACCAAACAUAUGAGCACAAGAUAGAGUUAAAAUUUAAGACCCACUAAACCAUUUUUUUAUUGGCAUUCAAGGUAGAUAGCACCACACAUGCCGUACAUCCAUGGGUGAAACAUUCUUAUUCAUGAGCAAAAGAUUUAUCUUUACAUGUCGAUAGCAAGGCAGUAUGGAGCAUUGUCAACAGGUCCUCAAGUUACAUUGGCUCGGCGUGACAAGUACUCUAACGAAGUCCCUUUUCGGCUCCCUAGGGCAUUGGGGAAGGUUCAUGAGUCCACUCUUCUCGGGACAAGAUGGCUCCUGCCCCAUGAAGUAGCACAACGCCUCGCAACGACACCAAUCUGAAAUCUGUGAAAGCUCUAGGCAACACGUUAUCGGCAUAUCGCCGACUUGCUGCGCCACAGGUUUGUUGUGCCACAUAGUCACGAUAGCCUUGUAGCGGCAUGCUUACCCAUCCCUAGGAAGCAGUGAUUUGGUUUGGUGGUAGCGGUGGCGGCAAAGAUGGAGACUAGGACCAGGGGCCAAGAGGAGGAGACUCCAGUUGUACGUGGACUCCAUGUUAUUUUCUAGCCACAUCCGGCUAGUUUGUGUAAUUUCUUGAGGUUGCGCACCAUAUUGGUGGGUGUAAGCUAGAUGUACCACACUUGCAUGCAUAUAUACCCAAAGAAAAAGUAAUAGAGGGAGUGCUAGCACUAAUUAACUAUAUUUGUGUGUUACAUGACAAUUAUGAUGAACUAGAGUGCACUUAAUUAAUUUGUUGGAACAAAAUUAGGAGGGAAACAAAAUUUAGCUUGUGCGUGGAAGGCGAGAGAUUCAUAGCCGCUCGAGCCUAGCGUCGUCGACGGAAACAUCUCCUCCCACUGAAAGCGCAUCGUCGGAAAUCCUGAAAUAAAUUCAGAAAUAAUGCGAGCACUAGGACUUGAACCCUGGUGAGCUGCGGAUACCACUGUCCCUCUAAUCAUCCAACCACAGGUUGAUUCGCUCUUCUAUAGUCAAGUUGAAAUAAUAUUUGAAGUGGAACCUACUUCAAUUAAGCUAGAUUAUGCGUGCGGGUGCUGCUAAACCAACAACCUAGUUUAUUUCUGAGUGUUGUGUGUGAGAGAAAAUGUGAUGAUUGUGUGUGAGCAACUUUGCAAAACAUUAUUUUCAAAUUAACCGUAAAAUCAAACAUCUGUAGGCAUUAAUCGUCUAUGAAAGAUGCUACUAGUAACCUUUGGACCUCUCUCUUCUUACAUGUGAAAAGACUCCAAAAAUAGUUCACAUGUAGUUUUGUUUUCAUUUAUUUAAUAAUCCCAAACUUAGAUAAAUCAUAACAUUAUCUACACAGAUCUUUUCAAACUGUUAUUUACUCAUAUGUUGUUGCGACUUAUAAGACUAGUGUAAUCGAUAACUACACAGUAUUGUUUGGGGCAAAGAAGUUAUCGUAUCUGUUUUGGCAUUGCUUAAGAAAGAAUAUUUGUUGCUAUUAUCGCUCGUGGGAUGGGUAACCUUAGGUCACACAUGAAAAAUUUCUAUUGCCGCAAACACUUAUAUUUGAGGGGCCAACGGCAUAAUAUCAAGCAACAUUUUAUCGAAUACACCGUGAAAAGGUGUAUCAUGAGUCAAGCCAAGCGGCUAUUACAAUGCCUUUCAGCAAACAACGCUACAGGUGUACAAUUCACACUACGACUACAACAACAAAAGGCACAACUUGUCCAACAUCUAGACAUAAAUGGUGAGGAAGCUGGGAGUAUCAGGACUGCAUCUAUAGCACAACUAUUUAACUCCACCACAAUCCGCAUAAAUGUACCCCGGCCAUGCGCCUAGAGGAUUCAGCAACCAGUAUUGAUGCCACGUUGGAUGCAAGAAAUUUAAAAAACUAGGAAACAAAUUAUAAAAAAAAAUUAACAGUUGGACGCUUCUUGAUUUUUCUCAUGAUUUCGACCAUCAAACACAUGAAUAAAAUAUCCGAGAUGAACUUUAAGAAGCAGAAUCCCUUAAUUAUCAUCCAUGCGCCUAGAAUAUUUGUCGGUAUGGUAUUGAUGUCACAUUGGAGGCGGCAGGGCAUAUUAGAGGAUAUUCGGGCGGGUGGUGGUAUGGAUAAUUUUAUCCGGAAUCUGCCUGGUGCCCACCCUUCAACCCCAUUUGAUCAAUUUGCCAUUUACCCAAUAAUUGAUCUGAAUGCGGGCAACUAUUAUUUAUUUUUUAGAGAAAAGGCAAACACCCGACUUUAUAAAUAAAGCCAUAAGGCAGGUAGCAGCAACAUCACAGAUUAGUAUCAAACACCCCCAAGCCCCAAUGACGGGCAGAACGACAAAAGAAAAAGUCAAGUACAUGGCUCCCUCGCCAGUACAUGGCAACUAUUAUUUAUCAUUUACAAAUAUAGCCUUGUAUAUGCUGCUCACUGGAAAUAAAAGGCUGGACAAAAAUGUAGAAAUGUUAUUAGCUGUUGGAGAUUUUGCUAAUAAUUUUGACCACCAAAGACAUGAAUUAAAGAUCUGAGUUGAGUUUAAGAAGCGAAAAUGAUUCCCUUUAUUCUUAUCCAUAUAUGUAGCACAUAGCACCACACAUGAUGAGCGCGCGGAGCUCGUCCUAUAUGCAUAUAUGCAUGUCACACAUGUAUGGUCGCAACAUGCUUAUUUAUUCAUGAGCGAGAGAAUUGUCUCUAGCUCCACUGAGACUCCUCCAUAGCGAGGCAGUACGGAGUGUUGUGAACGGUCGUCAAGUUGCAGUACCCCGGCGUGACGAGUAUCCUCACGAAGUCCAUCUGCACCUCCCUAGGGCAUCCGGGGAGUUCCAUGAGGCCGCUCUGAUCCGGACGAGACUUCGGCCCCAUGAAGUAGCGCAGCGCCUGGCAUCGGCACUGCUGCGGAAUGUUUGCAAGCUCCCCACAGCACUGCUGCUUGGCGAGGUACGGCGACCCGGGCGUUUCGAUGCGACAUGCUUGUUGUUCCACAUAGUCACGGCAGCUUGGGAGUGGAGUGAUCAGAGUACUCAUCCAUGGGGUGCAAUCUUCAUUGCCGAUGGCGGCAACGGCGGCAAAGAUGGAGACUAGGACGGCGGCCAAGAGGAGAACGCAGUUGGACUUGGACGCCAUAUUUGUUUUGACAGGCCCAGUUCGUUGGUAUAGGUUUGUUUUGUCACUGCGCUGGUGGGUGUAUGCUACACGUACCACACUUGCAUGUAUAUAUACUCCUAGAAAGGUAUAAGAAAAGCAGAGCUGGUAGCAAUUAACUAAAUUUGUAGUGUUAUAUGAUGAUUAUGAUGAGCUAGAGUGCACUUAAUUAAUUAGUUGGAACCGAAUUUGGAGGGGAAUGCAAGCUGGCUUUUGCCUGUAAGCAGUGAGAGAUUCCUAGCCGCUAGAGCCUGCCAUGGUUGAUGUGGCAUUCUUUUCUUCUCUUGUCUAGUUGUCAUCAGUACUUAAAAGUGGAGCAUCAAUUAAGCUUGCUAGUUUAUGCGUGAGACUGUAGCUAAACCAACAACGGACUUUGUUUUUGCAUGCUGUGAUAGAGCAAACAUGUGGCUAAUUUUUUUAAAUAAUACAUUUUUCUAAUUAAUUUGCAUAAAUAUUACGCCGAUAUUUUUAUUUUUAAAAAUAAUAAAACAUCGGCCCGCUGCAGGCCGACUGAGUCUAGUCGGCCCACCGCAGGGACUAAUUGGCUUGCUGGGAACCAAUUAGUCCAGUCGGCCUCAGGCCGACUGGAAGCCAAUCGGCCUGCGAUGGGCCGACUAGGUGCAUUUGGCCAUUUUUGGUUUUAGUUGUUGUUUUCUAUUUACUCUAGCUAUCAAAUGAAUAUAGUUUGUGUUGAAACUUUUUGCAUAAAUUACUAGCAAUAUUAACAAGCCACAUAUAAAUUUUCAUAAUUUUUGGAAAACCACAUUUUUACAAUUGUAUUUGAUAGCUCCUGGUGAAUAUAGAUAGGGUAUAAAUUUAUCUAUCCAAAUUGUUUUUUUAUUUUUAUAGAUGUUAAAAUAUCGAGGAGAAUAAUUUAAAUUUUUUUGUGCAACAAUUUGAGAAUACUUUUUUUGGUUUAUGAAACAAUUUGAGAAUUUUCCUCAAACUGUUUCACAAAAAUUGUUUCAUAUUGUUUCAAAUUGUUUCAUAAGCCAAAACAAAUUCCUCAAAUUGUUUCAAAAAAAUGUUAAACCAUUCUUCUCAAUAUUUUAAUAUUUAUAAAAAUAAAAAAAUCAAUUUGGAUAAUUAAAUUUAAACCCUAUCUAUAUUCACCAGGAGUUAUCAAAUGUAAAAAUGUGGUUUUCCAAAAAUUAUGAAAAUUUAUAUGUGGCUUGUUAAUAUUGCUAGUAAUUUAUGCAAAAAGUUUCAACAGAAACCAGAUUCAUUUGAUAGCUAGAAUAAAUAGAAAACAACAACUAAAACCAAAAACAGAAAAAAAAAUGGCCACAUGCACCUAGUCAGCCCACCGCGGGCCGAUUGGCUUCCAGUCGGCCCGCAGCAAGCCGACUGGAACUAAUUGGCUUGCUGCGAACCAAUUAGUGCCCAGUCGACUUGUUGCGGGCCGACUGGAGGCCAAUCAGCCCGCGGUGGGCCGACUAGGCUCAGUCGGCCUGCAGCGGGCCGAUGGUGUAUUAUUUUUGAAAAUAAAAAUAUCGGCGUAAUAUUUAUGCAAAUUAAUUAAAUAAAUGUAUUAUUUAAUAAAAAAUAGCAAACAUGUGACGGCAGUGUGGGUGAGCAACUUUGCAAAGCAUUGUUUUGGAAGGGCGGAUAGGGGCCAGUCAACCGGCCCAAAAUUCGGCCGGUCACCGCGCAGCCAUAGGAUCCUCACGGCCGUGGCCGUCUGAUGCGUUUCCCAUCAUCCUUUGACUCUCCCUCUUCGCAUAUGAAAAAGGCAAGCACACAAAAAAAAUGGCAGCCACCCCUCCCUCUCCCCAUGGCGAUGGUGGCGUCGACGGUGUCGCUCGCAACCAAAAAGUUAGGGUAGCAAAACAAAAAUGCUGGUUGUUCCAGCAAAAGUAGAAGACGGUGGUAGCAAAAAAUUAGUCUGCCUCCAGCAAAAAUCAACAGACAGUAGCAAUUUUCUAUUUGGUUCUAACAAAAUCAAAAGAAGGUAGUAGCAAAAAUUGAGGCAGGCUCCAACAAAAAAUUUUACCUCGUCGGCUUUCCAGCAAAAAGAAAUUUGGCCGCCGGUGGUAGCUUUCCCGCUCGCGGUUGCAACAAAUUCAUAGCCCGUCAUCGCCAGUCACACUUCAUCAUUUCCUGGUUGUAGGAAAACCGGGCGCCGAUGGUAUCUUUCCUCGUUGCCCCUUGCAGCAAAAGUCGUGGCGCCGGCCACGCUGGCCUGGUAGUAGCAAAUCCGGUUGUUGAUGGUAGUUUUCUCAGUUGCCCGUUGUAGCAAAAACCACGGCGCCGUCAUAGUCGGGCACGCUUAUUGUCGCUUUGUUGCAGCAACUUCGGCCACUGGUGGUAGCUUUCCUGGUGCCGGUUGCAGCGAAUCACAUCGCCAGUUGCAGUGUCAGCACCGGUGGCCACCACCUCCNNNNNNNNNNNNNNNNNNNNNNNNNNNNNNNNNNNNNNNNNNNNNNNNNNNNNNNNNNNNNNNNNNNNNNNNNNNNNNNNNNNNNNNNNNNNNNNNNNNNNNNNNNNNNNNNNNNNNNNNNNNNNNNNNNNNNNNNNNNNNNNNNNNNNNNNNNNNNNNNNNNNNNNNNNNNNNNNNNNNNNNNNNNNNNNNNNNNNNNNNNNNNNNNNNNNNNNNNNNNNNNNNNNNNNNNNNNNGGACGACCAUGGCUUCCCCGGGUUGCAUCAGCCCCUGAGUAUUCCUCGCAACGGCGGUGUACGCGGUGGGGGCAAUCGGCUGCCAACCCGCCCAUCUCGACCCGAUCUAGAUGCAAAAAAGGGUGGCACAUGUAACCGAGGUGAUUUCUCCGAUGGCUUAAUUUGGACGCUCGCUGCCGGCACAAGUGCUGGAGGUAGGGUAUGAGAAGAGAGUGGAUGGGUGGAAGAGGGGAGCCUUCUAUAUGGGAUAAGAGCGUCGAGAGGGAUCAAGGGGGAUGGGGAGCGGUGCGCCACGGAGGUUGCGCUAGUGACGUGGCCACUUGAGCAACUAGGCGUCGUUUUACCGAGUGGGAUUGUGCAAGUCACACACGACCGGCCGAGCAUUCCGCCGGCCAGCCGAAUGUAAACGUUUCUCUUUUUUGAAUUAAUAGCAAAAUCAAAGGUCUACACAGAUGGAUCGGCUACGACUCAAAACCUAACACUUUAAGAAAAAACUAGAUGAUAUCCCUCUCGUUGUUACGUGAAUCGUUUGCAAUAUAUUUCAAUCACAUUUGAUUGUGUGAAAUGUAAAUGUUUAGAUCAAUAACAUGUGAACAAAAUUUAACAAUACAUAUGAGCUACUAUAUUUAAUUAUGUAUAGUUGCAAAAUAGUUAUUAACAUAAGUAGAAUAAUAGAAUGAAAGAUAUUUUCCCAUGCAUGGUUGCAUGUGGUGGUGGGUCUUCUCUCAUGCAUGGUGGCAUGUUGAGGUGAGCUUUAUCCCAUCCUUAAUUGUAUGAUAAUGUGGCACGCUUGCAUGUUGAGAUAUCUUACAUUUUUAAGAAGUUGGUUUCAAUUCUCUCAACAUGCAAAGUGUCCACCUCAAUGUCCCACUAAGCAAUGCAUUUAAGUCUUCUCUCCCACUAAGCCAUGCAAAAUCUAGCACAUAAAGUCAUGCAUUUAACUUAUAAAAUACAAUUAUUUUUGCAUUAGUCUAUGCCUGUAACACUGCCACAUCAUAUAUUCAUGUUAGUCAUCCUUCACAUUUUUGUUCAAAAUGACAUUAUUAACUGUAAUUCAAAAGUUUUUAUUCUAUUUUUAGAUAUUUUUUAUUGAUUUUCAAGCUUAUACUUUAGAUUUAGUUAUUUUUAUCAACUACUUACGCUUUUUUUAACAAAGUUACCGCAGAAACACGUGGGGAGAGAGUCAUCCUCACUACUCGAUUUCAGAGUUAUUUAUUAAAUCCAACUCAUCUUCUACUGCAAAACAUUUCUUAUUUCUAAUUUCUUACUCCUUUUCUCAUUACCAUGUGCCCCUCUCUUUUAAAUUGUUUAUUACACUACCAUUCCGCUGCAACGCGCAAGGUAUUGUCUAGUAUAACUUAGUGAUGAUGACUCUUUUAAGUAUAUAUAGGAUGAGGAUAAAAUCUGGCAUCUACAUCAUUUUGAUGCAUACAACCAUUUUUUUUAAACAAUGAGUAUCAAGGUCCGGUGCAUCAAACUUCAUAAUAAAUAGAAAGAAGCCACCACCAUUGACAAUAGGACUAUAUAUACUUACACGCAUAGCCUAUUAUUAAACCGCAAUCCAAGCAGAUUGUAAGUAACAUGUAGAACUGUCUCCCACUGCUUGCACCCAACACCCAUAGCUCAUAUACCUUCACAUGCUGCAAUAAGGACCAUGUACGUAUCCAUGUGUAGCUCCGAAAAUGAUGUGCAUAAAGUUCUAUAUUUUGACUCUGUUAAAAACACAGUCAAGCCGACAAUUUCAUAGAACCCAGGGCAAAUCACAAACUCCCGCCCAGAUAUGUGGUUUAACUUUAUUAUUAACCCCACCAAACAGGUUUGCCAUACUAGUAGGUAGCGGCAGGAUAAUCACAUAAAUCGUACUCCCUCCGUCCCAUAAUGUAAGACGUUUUUUUGACACUAGUGUAGUGUCAAAAAAUAUCUUGCAUUAUGCGACGGAGGGAGUAUAUCAUACCAAGGUGGCAAAAUAACAGGAAAUAAACGUAUGAUAACUUGUUUCAUCCUGAUAACAAAAUAACAUCACACUGGACUAUGACUCAGAACCUAGUUUACGAUACAAAAUCUCCAACCACACGAUUUCGCGUUCAGGCCAAUAACAGCCCCAAGACAUAGGCACAUAAUCCAAUGCGUUUGAUAUUUGAUAUCUGCAAAGAAAACGUAAGAUGAUCUUUAUUGAAUGGCAUCUAAUAAGGCCAGGUUUGGUUCAUCAUGGGCCCCUGAACCUUUACUACCUACAGUUGUUCAAAUUAUAAGACUUUCCAGUACAAUUUGCACCAGUCAAACAUUUCUGAGUUUGUCCUUCCAAAAGAGAAAAAACAUUUUGAAAUUUCUCCCGGCAAAGGGAAAAAUAUUCAUAAGUUUGAUUCAUAUGUUUUCUAGUCAUAUUUGUCAACAUCGGUUUGUCAAUUGUUGCUCAUCAUGCAAUUUCUUGUCUUAGGGUGGGAUCGCCAUGGAGAAGUACAAGCAAUUUCCGUCAUUGUUGGAACUUGCUCAAGAAGGAUGAGAACUGGAAGACGAUGAAUGAUGAGGCUCCACCGAAGAAAUCAAGGUCAAGUACCUCGUGCUUUUUGAAGGUUGACAAAGAAGAAGAAGAUGAUGAUAUUGAUGAGGGUGGCGAUGCUAAGAGGAGACUGAGGAGUCCUACUCCAUCGAGCAAGAGGGUGAAGGGUAUGCUUGAGAGGGAAGUGGAUGUCAUUUACACGAGGGAGAAGAUAUAUAAGUUGAUCACGACGAAGAAGGACAUGGUGGCGCGAAUCAUGCAAGCCAAGUUUGACUUGGUGGAGAAGAAAAGACAAGAUAAGUUGGUGAGGUGGCGAGAGAUGAAUGACGGCAAGAGGCACAAGGUUGACAUGGAGAAGGGUCAGCUUCUACUCAAGGAGAACCAAAUGAGGCAAUAGGGUGUGGCCGAUGAGAAUAUGAUCAUGAAGAUGGGUCCCGGUGGUUAGCCGUGAGUUAGCUAUGUUAGGAGGGGAGUUCAUGGUAGAACUGGAAUCUGGCUAAGGCUCCUCAAAGAUUGAUGAUGCCAUAUACAUGAAAUUUACUCCUAUUUUAACUUACAUAUUAUAUUUCCUCAUAAAUGAAACAACAGGGGAGGACGGGCUAGGAAUACUAUUACGAACAAGAGUACAUGAAACCCUUUCGUAUCUCGAGCUCUAGUGAGCCCUGAUGUUUUCAAAAUUACAAAUAAAUGUUUUAGAAGUAUCAAAAGAAUUGACAUGCAAACAUGGACGCCCAUCUGUACCUAUAAAUUGUCAUGUAAGGCACGCUAAAGACAAUAGGUAUGCAUUGUUUUCUAUUAUAAUCCAUGAAUAUAUGGAUCAAGGGAGACUUCUAAGGAUCAUAAGGAAUAACUAAGAUAGCCCCAAAGCUAUAAAUAGGUGAGGAAAAAGGAAGAAAAGCCCAAAGCGGUCAGAUCCAUGAUUGACAACUACAUCAAUGGCCAUAUCCAUACCAACCAGUUCAUGAUACCACACUGACGAGGGGGGUCUUCAAUGAUUCCAUGGCUCCAAUGAUGCGGAACAAGUGAGGCAUUUAGCUAGGCUCGAGACGUGCCAUCUUCUUGUGGAUGUUAGAGACGGCGAUGAACUUCCCUUGGAUCUGCUUGUAAUCUUUAUUUUUGUCAUAGGUUUAUUAGGUUUGGACUUAGUUAAUAACUUAUAUCUGGCUUUGGCCUUUGAAAAAUAAAUGAUCCAGUUGAAAUGUCGCUUUGGCCUUUGACAGACUAAAAUGAUCUAGUUGAAAUUAAAGAACCACAGAAUGAUUCUCUUUAUUCUCAUUCAUAGCAGAUAGCCCACACAUGUUGAGCGCGCGGAGCUCACAUAUGUAUACAUGCACACCACACGCCUAUGGAUGCAACAUGCAUGCUUAUUCACGAGCGACUGAUUUUAUCUCUAGAUCCACAGAGGCUGUUCCACGGCGGGGCAGUAUCGAACAUUGUGAAUGGUCGCCAAGUUGCACUGCCCCGGGGCGACGAGUAAUCUGACGAAGUCCCAUUGCAUCUCCCUGGGGCAUCCGGGCAGAUCGAUGAGGCCGCUCUCACCAACAUUGCCGGACCUCGGGUCCACAGGCUGAGACGGUACCGGCAACGCUAUGAAGUAGCGCAGCGCCUCGCACCGGCACUGCUGAGAAAUUUCUGCGAGCUCCUGGCAGCAAUACAACUUGGCGAGGUACGGUUUCCCAGGGGAGUAUAUCGACGCAGAUGUCAUCCAUUCGGGUAACUUUGACCCAGGGGUGAAGGUGCCACAAGUUUGUUGUAACACAUAGUCGCGGCAGUGUGGCAGAAGAUUGGUCCGAAAAGCCACCCCUGGGACGCAGCUGCCGGAGGCGGAAGCAGCGGCCAAGACGGAGAGCAGGACGGCGGCCAAGAGGAGGAGGCUGCAGCUGGACUUGCACGCCAUGGUAUUCUAGCCAAGUCUGGUUCGCUG